UACGGGGGGGGCAAGCGUUGUUCGGAAUUACUGGGCGUAAAGGGCUCGUAGGCGGCCAUCUUAGUCAGACGUGAAAUCCCCAGGCUCAACCUGGGAACUGCGUCUGAUACUGGAUGGCUCGAAUCCGGGAGAGGGAUGCGGAAUUCCAGGUGUAGCGGUGAAAUGCGUAGAUAUCUGGAGGAACACCGGUGGCGAAGGCGGCAUCCUGGACCGGCAUUGACGCUAAAAAGCGAAAGCCAGGGGGGCAAACAGG
rnacentral:rRNA from 1 species